rnacentral:rRNA from 1 species
UACGGAGGAUCCAAGCGUUAUCCGGAUUUAUUGGGUUUAAAGGGUGCGUAGGCGGCCUGUUAAGUCAGGGGUGAAAGACGGUAGCUCAACUAUCGCAGUGCCCUUGAUACUGAUGGGCUUGAAUGAACUAGAGGUAGGCGGAAUGUGGCAAGUAGCGGUGAAAUGUUUAGAUAUGUCACAGAACACCGAUUGCGAAGGCAGCUUACUAUGGUUUUAUUGACGCUGAGGCACGAAAGCGUGGGGAUCAAACAGG